AGUGAACGCUGGCGGUAGGCCUAACACAUGCAAGUCGAACGGCAGCACAGUAAGAGCUUGCUCUUACGGGUGGCGAGUGGCGGACGGGUGAGGAAUACAUCGGAAUCUACUUUUUCGUGGGGGAUAACGUAGGGAAACUUACGCUAAUACCGCAUACGACCUACGGGUGAAAGCAGGGGAUCUUCGGACCUUGCGCGAUUGAAUGAGCCGAUUUCGGAUAGCUAGUUGGCGGGGUAAAGGCCCACCAAGGCGACGAUCCGUAGCUGGUCUGAGAGGAUGAUCAGCCACACUGGAACUGAGACACGGUCCAGACUCCUACGGGAGGCAGCAGUGGGGAAUAUUGGACAAUGGGCGCAAGCCUGAUCCAGCCAUACCGCGUGGGUGAAGAAGGCCUUCGGGUUGUAAAGCCCUUUUGUUGGGAAAGAAAAGCAGCAGGUUAAUACCCCGCUGUUCUGACGGUACCCAAAGAAUAAGCACCGGCUAACUUCGUG
rnacentral:rRNA from 1 species